rnacentral:rRNA from 1 species
CGGCAACAGCUCAAAUUUGAAAUCUGGCCCCUAGGGUCCGAGUUGUAAUUUGUAGAGGAUGCUUUUGGUGAGGUGCCGCCCGAGUUCCCUGGAACGGGACGCCACAGAGGGUG